rnacentral:ribozyme from 11 species
AGAGAGUAAAAAAGAAAGAAGGAUUGAGACGGCAUGCAAGGGAACACGUAUUUGUCUGACUGUUUUUCUUUCUUGCUCGUCAUUUAAUCCUUCCUGCCUACCUGCUUCGAGUCUCCUCUCCUCCAAUUUAUGUGUUGCCAGCCAUCCAAAAAGAAAGGAAG